rnacentral:tRNA from 1 species
GGAGAGGUGCCUGAGUGGUUGAAAGGACCGGUCUUGAAAACCGGCGUGCGCGCAAGCGUACCGUGGGUUCGAAUCCCACCCUCUCCGCCA